AUCAAUUAUUCGCUGUUGGGAGCAGAAAAAUUAUAAGACAUAUCGAUUGGUUUCAGUCGUAGACCCACUUUGACUCGUCGCAAUCCAUGCAUGGGUCGAAAUAUUCGAAUUUCUCGGUCUACGAGGGAGCCCGAGCUUUGCUGGAGUCAGGUAGCCACGGGCGCGCGGUUUGUUGUGGGGCGUCACCUCUGCUCAGCCCCGAAGGUGACGUCUCACAACAAAGCGCUACGCUGCUGGCUACCUGAUUCCAGCAAAGCUCGGGCUCCCCGACUCAACUUCAAUUUUAACUCAAAAAAAGAGCAUGUUAUUUUUUUCGACCCCAAAGUGUUCCAAGCGAGAAUUGGCGAUAACUCGGUCAUUUCAAUAGAUACAUCAAUUCAGCUUGUGGACUCGAAUUCCUGGGUUUGCAAUACAUAAAAAUACCCGAUAAAAAAAGGUGAAAGAAUGUUGAUUUCUGCAGUAUCUUAAUGUAUCUUUUUGUAGUUUGAUAUCAGAAACACUAAUCCGUCAACUAAGUUACGCUAGAAAUAAAUUCCAUCCUUAUGUUUGCGUGGAGGCUGCUCAUUAUUUCUUCAGGGUGAACAAAAAGGAGACUUGUUCUACACUUAUACGAGCUUGAGAAAAGCACGGAAUUAAAGAUAAUAAACAUAUUUAAUAUCAAAUAUUCGUAGACUUUGUCGUUACAUUUAAUGCUUCGUCUAACCAAACCAAGCACUAAAAUUUUUGGUCAAUAUAACAAUAAGAAUGUAGGUGGAAAUUUUUUCUAAGACUAUUCCAAUUAGUAAUAGUAUUUGGAGAUUACCAGAAUUUCAAAAAAUUGUAACACGGUCAAGCUUUGCUUAUCACUAAUUCUUAUCGUAACGAGUUCCUCAUUCUCAAAAUUCCCUAAUUUGCGCACGGCUAUAUAACUUGUUCAUAGGUUUUAACUAGCUCUUGAUGUAUUACAAUAUGUAAAGCGACUUAUGUACACUGUUCAUAUUUAUAUUCAAUAACCACACAAUUAUACAUUUUAUUCGCGGCGCAAGUUUUCUAGCCUUGCUUGUAAAUCUGCAUCAGCAUCAUUGACGUUACCCGCUCCAUCAGACCCACCUCCACCACCGGCGCCGCCAGUACCAGCAGCGGCACCAGCAGCUGUGGCAACAGGCUGUUUACUCCCUGCAACGCUGAGGGAUCCCGAUGCUUGUGGUAGGCCAGAAAGUUGGUCUGUUAAUUGUAGGCCAAGCUCAUCCAAUACUUGAGAGACAACCGCGUCACUGAGCAAUCAAUUAAAACAUCAGUUACAUGUUACGUAAUAUUUCUCAUUCUAGCAUUUAAUAUGAAAUGAAUACCGGUGAUAUAACCACGAAUAAUCGCAAAAUUAGUUUACCUUUCUUCUUCGUCACCUUCAUCUUCCAUGGCAUCGUCGAUGGCAUCGUU
rnacentral:misc_RNA from 1 species